CAUCCUAUCCCUGGGCAGUGGAUAAAACAUACUAGAUGGAAGGGCUGCCCCUCUCCCAGGCCUCUUGCAUCUUGGUUAUUUCCCCUUUUUCACAUUUUUUUUCCUUCCUAGGUAGUGGGGAGGCAUAGUUCAUGGUCAAUGCCAGCAAUAGCCAGCUGAGGAUACAGGGGAUGGGAGCAAAAUGAUUUCAGGCUGUAGAUGUAGGACUGAGAAGCAGGUGUGGUGGAGAUGACUGUAGCCCUGGUGUCUGCGAGCCUCUGGAAUGGGAACCACAGGAGCAAGCCAUCUAGACAGGCACCUAGACCUGUGUCAGCUAUGUGGGGGUUGACUGGCCCUGGGGAAAGGCUGUUGGCUACUGCAGGUGGCUGGCGACAAGGCUGGAGUGCAAGGGAAAGGCCAGCACAGAAGUCUCGGCACACAGAGCUGCGAUCCUGGCUGGUCUGAGGUUGGGACACGUGCAGGCCAUACGCCGCCUCUUCUCCCCUGGCUGGGCCUCUCCAGCUAGGGCCUGCUCCAUCUGCAGCUGAAUCUGGGUGGGGCUCAGCCCACUGAUGGUCAAGUUGUUUCCAGAAACAUUCUGCACUGUCAGCUGCUGCUGCCCUAUGGAAGAGAGAAGGACACGGUUCAGGAAAGGAAGCCCAGGCCAGACCUCCUUCCUCUGCCUCCUGCACAGGUUAAGGAUGAGUCAUGGGAGCUAAGACUCUGGAGAGCAGUGAGAGCCAGGACCUCUCUGAGAUUCUAAUGCUUCUUGGCAGGUAACACUCCUAAGAACUUUUUAUUAAUGAGCUUUGGGAAAAUCACUCUAGGCUACCUCGUCCUCCCUCUUUAGUGUCCCCUAAAAGUGGACAAACCAAAUGCAUAAAAUGCAAGAUAGAAAUUCAGUAGGGAGGAAGAAAGUCAUGACCUCAACCUGGACAGCUGCCCUACUCCCAUGCAGAAUGAAGACCACCCCUGCUAGGCAGCUCAGCUCUCCCUCUUCCCUAGGUUUCUUAAAGAUCUACUUAUGUAUUUUAUGCAUAUGGGUGUUUUGCAUGCAUGUUUAUCUAUAUACCAGAAGAGGGCAUCAGAUGCUAUGGGACUAGUUACAGACUGUUGUGAGCCAGCAUGUAGGUGCUAGGAUUUAAACCCAGGCUCUGGAAGAACAGCCAGUGCUCUUAACCACAGAGCCAUCUGUCCCUGUCCCUCUUAUUUUCAAGACUGCAUUCACAGCAUUUAUCCUCACUGAACUCGUGUGCAGCACAAGCUGGUCCUACUGUCCAGGACACUCUUCUCUGACACUAAACCUCAGCACCAGCCUUUCUCUUUAAGAAGCCUUCCUUAGCAGAGAAGUGGUGGCACACGACUUUGAGCUCAGCACUUGGGAGCAGAGGCAUGAGUUCAAGUCCAGCCUGGUCUACAGUGUGAGUUUCACGACAGCCAAAGCUACACAGAGAAACCCUGUCUCGAAAUGGCUUAGGAUUCCCACAUGCUGAAUACAAAGCCAACACCCUGGCUGCAGGACUUUCGCUCACCGCCAGUGUUGGUGAUGGUGACAGGCACACCCUGGACUUGGACUCCAUUGAUGUUGAUG